CUUGAGGAAACCAUGGAUGGUGGACGACUAAGGAGGGAAAUGUGGUGCUCCCAGCCACUGUAGCAGACACAUUGCUGCGAGAACUACAUAAGUCCACCCACCUCGGUGAGAAAAGGAUGAUGGCUGCCUUACAACCCCAUUUCGUCAGCCAGGGAUUAGCCCAAAAGGCCCAGGACAUGGUGAGACGAUGCCCCACCUGCCUCAAGGUUUGAUUCCAAGACCCUGGAACCUCGUUGGAAGGGACUGGUUCCUGCUGUCCUGUCAACUCCCUUGGUGGUGAAGGUGGCUGGACAUUCUGCCUGGAUACAUUGCAACCAUCUGAAAGCAGGACCCCCCGUAGACAUCAAAAAGGGCAAAUGGAAGGUUAUCAGCCAACCAGGCGACCAAAAACUAAGACUGGAACGGGUUGGAG
ensembl:lncRNA